AAAUCUGUGAUGAGAAUAAUACUGCAACAAUAUGAAUGGAGAUACGCUAUCUCCACCUUCCAUGUUUACUUGUAUUUAAGUCUCUGAUGAUU